GCUCUGAGGACUGAGCCGGUCGGGCUGGGGACCUGAAGCAGGAACGGCACUGCACCGGGACUGGGCGGGGCUCGCCGUUCACGCGGCGCGGCCAAGCCCGGACCAGCGUCGGGACCUUCCUGUGGAAAGCCUCAGCUGCGCGGCGUCUGAGGGCUUCGUGCCCAAAGUGCUAUGCUUCGGCCGGCAAAAAACAGUCAACUCAGAACUGGCACGGACCGGGGGAAUCCGACUGUCUAAUUAAAACAAAGCAUUGCGAUGGCCGCUGGUCGGUGUUGACGCAAUGUGAUUUCUGCCCAGUGCUCUGAAUGUCAACGUGAAGAGAUUCAUCAAAGCGCGGGUAAACGGCGGGAGUAACUAUGACUCUCUUGUGGGCGGGCUGAGCGCACGCGUGGAUCACAGAGAGUAGCCCCUCCCGGGGUUUGGCCCAAGUUACGCUUGCGCCACAUAGUUGCUCGGGGAGUUGGUGCGUGUCCAUAAAGUCAGGCAACUAUGGAUCACGACGGUCACGCCAACACCCCACGGGAUGUGCACCUCCACGUGGUACCGCUGGGCAACGGUCGCCUGUACACCGGCUAAGACACAUCCCAAACCCUGGACCUGCGGGGAAACCCUCCCCGCAGGUUCCACUGUGGCUCGGCGAGAUUGUAAACCCAAAAUUCGGUAAGCUACGGGUCAAUGCCCGAUGCUCCGAGCCCGCAAGCGUUGCAAGCCAGCCAUGGGUUCACCACGGUACGAUGUCCUAUUGCGGGGGGAUCUACUGAAGGUGUUGGUGGCUGGCAAGUGACACCUGGUAGACCUCGGUGCCGGCACUUCAUUUCCUGGAACAACCCUUGACUGGACUCAGUCCGGUUGGGUACAUCUAGGGUGGGUUGAGGCCGACACCGUGGUCUACAAGACCUGCUGGGUUCUCGGACCCAGGGGGCGCCUCCGUCGGGUAG
rnacentral:ncRNA from 1 species